rnacentral:pre_miRNA from 1 species
UGUUAAGAUUUUCAUCCAUUUUUGCUAUUAAAACCUAGCGUGGUUGAUAGAAUAAUCAAAUAGUUACACAGGACGUGUUGCGUACAUCUUAGUAGAAAUUGAUGAAAUUUUUAACA